AACGUUUAUGAGCAGCCCUGUAUAAAUAUAUGGAAACACUUUACUCGCCAUAGUAAACCUUAGACCGUCUAUCAGUAUAAACUGUGUCACCUACGAAAUUAAACUCUGAACUUUACAUCAACAAAUUACUCAAAUCAGAUGUUGUGAUACAUCCGCUAGAGUGAAGACCGGAAUGAUAAAAACUAAGCUAAGAAAUCUAAAAAACUUGGAAGACAAAUCGAAAAACAGACAAUGUUCCACAUGAGUGAAAAUCUACGCGACUAUUUGACCAACGUUAUACAACUUUAUGACAAGCUAAAGGCAAAGUAUUGUGGAUAAAACCCUGUUUGUUUGUAAAAAAAAAUCUUAUAUGAGUGUAGCUGGAUGGUAUUCAGACCAACGCCUGAAAGAACACCAAUUUUCUGUCCAUCUUAUUGCCUUAAACUCAGCCAUGGUAAAACAUGUAACUAUUGAUGUAGAAGAACUGUAACUUUACUGGUUAACCUAACUGGAAAAUAAGGAAAUAAAUGAAGCUUUCAACACAGAAAACGUAGAGUAACGAUGGAUCAUGAGACUGGAACAAAAAAUAUUGUUUGUUUGUUUCUAGAUUUGUAGCCUUAAGGAUCACUGAAAAGUAGUAAUUAGUUCAGUCAAAAGACGUACAACAUAAAAAUGUGUAUUGGAAUGGAUAGAAUACUUUUUAUCAUUUGUAGGCGUUCAAACAAUGUCUGGAUUUAUUACACUUACUUAUUGAUAUGUAUCAGGACAUGGGAAAAAAAGAGUCAUAAAAUAAUAAAAAUCUUUCAGAGUAGGAAGAUAUUUUUGUAUUACC